UAGGGAAUAUUGGGCAAUGGAGGCAACUCUGACCCAGCCAUGCCGCGUGAAGGAUGAAGGUCCUACGGAUUGUAAACUUCUUUUAUUAGGGAAGAAACCCUUGAAUUCAUUCGAGGCUGACGGUACCUAAGGAAUAAGCACCGGCUAACUCCGUGCCAGCAGCCGCGGUAAUACGGAGGGUGCAAGCGUUAUCCGGAUUCACUGGGUUUAAAGGGUGCGUAGGUGGAUCGAUAAGUCAGUGGUGAAAGCC
rnacentral:rRNA from 1 species